ACAAUUGGGACUGUAGUGGAAUAGCAGGUUGUUGUGAUAAAGUCCUUAGUAACAUUUCCUGGUCUUGUUGUAUAAGAAUUUUCUUCCACAGCUAUCUCACAAUAUUGCAGAACAGAGGAAAGUCUUGGAAGAAUAUCACAACGGUGCAGUUGCAGCAAAAUAGAAAAAAAGCCAACACAGCACACAUGCACUGGUCAAGACAAACCAGGUGCUGGAAUAUAAUUCUUGUAACUGCAAGUCUGUGUGAUCUUUAUUUAUGGAAGAUGACCUUGGAGUAUCAGAAAACGAAAACGUUGUUAGGUUCUGGCAUUAGGUCUGGAGCUUACAAACUGAGAAGAAUGAGUGGGGCUUUUCAGAUGUUCCCAUCUGUAUGGGUUUGGACUUUCGAAGAAGAGGUGAUGAGGAGUCACUGGUUUGUGCUCAUAAUCACCUUAUACACAUAUUCUAUAUACUUGAGAAUGCAUAACAUAAUAUGAGCAUGUAUUAGUAAAUCCAAAACACCUGUGGCUCAUCAUUAUCAUUAUCAUUGUCAACAUCCAGCUUUCAGUAGCUGCAGAUUUUCAAGCAGGCUGUAGAAACUCAUUCCACUCUGCAGAGACAGAGAAGAAUGCUUUUCUCUUAGAAUGCCUGGAAAACUGAUCUGAAUGUCUGUUCUUUCCUCUCUUUACCUAUUAAAGUGGGGCCUAUAUCCCCCAAUGGCAGAUGAUCAUGUCUGAUCAUAGAAGUUAAGCAGGUUCAGUCUUUCUUGGCAAUUGGACGAGAAACCAGCAAUGAAUGAUUGUGGUGCAUAAUUUCAACUCUGGGACAAGUACAGCGCCACAUGCUAUAUUUCAGAGGAAGGAACUGGCAAAGCGUCCUCUAAUGACCUUAUCACAUUGACAAAAAUUAGUGCAUGACUUCCAGCUGAGGCUCCACCCCCAACCAGGGUAGAACCGUCCUUGGACACUUCCCCCAAACAUGGUAGCCUUCUCAUGUUAUGCUUGCUCCAAUGGAGCCAGCACAUUUCUGCCUUGUUUGGGCGAUGUUUCUCCAUGCGAUGGGGGGAGCACCGGCACUCAGGAGUUGUGUGUGGGGCGAGAAAGUCACACUUGCACCCGUCGUUUUGCCACAGUUGCUGGUAAAUUGCAUUGGGGGGUGGGGGGGGGGAAGGAUGUUUUCAAAACAGGAAAAAUCAGGCCUGCAAUCUGGCCCUAAGUGCAGAAACCAAAUCCAGUGGGGCGGCGCCUACAUCAUGAUGAUGAAUGACAACUGUGCCGAAGUACAGCUUUGAACAGCUUUAAGGAUAUGAGCUGUUAUUGCUGCAUUCCUUUUAAUAUCUUAACAUAAUCAGUAACCAUCAUUUCAGUGCACUUGUGAUCAUUUCAUUUUGAUAGACUGGCUAUGAAAUGAUACUUUCAGGAAAGCAAUGUGUACCUAUGUACUGGGGGAAAAGCAGAAUUUUGCAGAACACAUGAAAGGGACUUCCAUAUUUAUAGAAUGAUACUUUGCAGACUUGGAUAUCCUAAGCACUCAGUAUUUUGCUUUGUUUUGCUGUUGUUGACAUUUUGUUGUAUUUGAUCAUAUUUUAGUACUGCUAUAACUCCAGUUAGCUACCUUGAGUGAUAUGGAGUUAUUAUAAGGGUGGGAUAUAUGCUGUUUUUAAAAAUAAUGAAAGAAUAUAAAUAAGAAACUUCAUGAAACCUGCACAAAUCAAUUAAGUGAAUAAUUCCCUAAAAGCCAUGUGAUCAGACUAAUUGGAUUAGUUAGUGGAAAUUUCUUUUGUCGGCUGAGCCUUUUUCUGGCAGUUUUUGAAGUAGACUCAAUUUCUCUUCUCAUAGAAUUACCUUGAUUUGUGCUAAUUAGAAGGGAAUGCUUUUCACACUAUGGGGAUAAAUGUCAUUACCUCUUGCUAUUUUUCUGCAGGUCAAGCCACUGUACUUGUCCCAGAGUUGUAAUUAUGCACCACAAGCAGACUCUGUGUUCAAAAAAGGACUCUUGUGGUUCAUUCACAUAGCCCAAUAGUGACUUGUUUCCCUACCAUAAUCCAGCCUUUAUUGUAUGGAGAAACUAAUUAUGUGCACCAGCAGUGCCUGCAUUUCUUAUUUCUGGGAGUUAACACUCUCCAGGGCUUUCCAGUAGAGUUCAGAAGUAACAGGCUAGAAGCAAUGUGAACUUAACUAGGUACAGAGUGGUGAUGAUAACUUAAAAGCAAUGCAGCACGCAAGCAAAAACACGGAAGACUUGAGUGGCUUAGUAGGCUUUGCAUUAAGGGAAAGGGUGAAGAAACCAGGAUGUGUGCCAGAACAACAACAACAACAACAACAACAACAACAACAACAACAACAACAACAACAACAUUUUAUUUCUUACCCACCUGUCCUCACAGCUCUUGGUGGGGCACAACAUAGUUACAAGACAUCACCAUAAAACAUUAUGUAGAAUACAUAUCUGAAAAUAUAUCUCUAUAAAAUACUUGGACUAAAUGGCCCAUGUGGUCUCUUCCAACUCUAUGAUUCUAUGACCAGUAAUGGCUGUUAUUGAGUCCAAAUGCUUUAUUCCAAUUCACCAUAAUCAAAUACAGGAUCAUGAAGGAAUUAAAAGGAACAGUUUCGCCACACAUGUUUACCAACGAGCACUCAUGCUGACGUGCACCUCACUAUGUGGAUUUGCUUCCUCUCCAUGAUUAACCCAUUCCCUGCCAUAGAUAAGCAAGACCUGUGAAUAGUUUGCCAUCAAAAAUUCAAAAUUGCAAUUUUUCUUUUCUUUUCUUUUUUUAAAAACAAACCAUGGAGCGGCAGAUUUGCAAGACGGCAGGGUUAUAAGGGUAUGCAUAUAUAUGACUGUGGAACCGCAGAUUUUCCAAUGGGUACAGUUGCACAAAUGAGGAGAGCUGUGAUGUAGGGCCGGGCUUUAGCAUAGCAGGUUAAACCACCAGCUGCAGUAGAUCUUGUCAAUCCAAGGUGAGCUCCUGGCCUUUAAGCUAGCUUCCACCAACUUAGCAAAACAAUAGAUAAUAGUGAAUAGAUAAAUAGAUACCAUUUUAAAAAGCGGGGGAGGUAUUUUAAAGGUACCAAUAAGGAAAAACUGCCAGAAAAAUGCUGGCAAAUCAACCAAAAAAGGAGGGUUAUGAACAGAUCUUUGGCAGGGAGAUGGAGGGACAGCACCCCCCCCCCCCACGGCCAGAAAUGGGCACAAGCCUUUUAGAUGCUGAAGAUGGGGAAAAGUCAAUAUAUACCUCCUUCUUUGUACAAUUGUCUGCAUUGAAUGUUUGUUGUAUAUGUGUGUUCUGUGAUCCGCAUUAGUCCCUUUUGGUGUGAGAAGGGUGGAAUAUAAAUACUGUAAAGGCCCGGGUUGUGGCGCAGGCUGGUGAGCAGCCAGCCAGCUACAGCCAGCUGCAACAAAUCACUCUGACCAAGAGGUCAUGAGUUCGAGGACAGCUCAGAGCCUGUGUUUGUCUUGUCUUUGUUCUAUGUUAAAAGGCAUUGAAUAUUUGCCUUAUAUGUGUAAUGUGAUCUGCCCUGAGUCCCCUUCGGGGUGAGAAGGGCGGAAUAUAAAUACUGUAAAUAAAUAAAUAAAUAAAUAAAUAAAUAAAUACUCA